rnacentral:lncRNA from 1 species
UCCUCCACCCACCUUCUCGGAGAUGUCCCUUUUGGGGUAGUGGGGACAUUAGGAGCAACCUCCUAGGGUUGUUGUGAGAAUUAAAUGAACUGCAGCAGCCUGAGGCAGGGCUGGGCAGAGACCUCAGCACAUGUUUGUUGAAAGGUUUGCAGGUGGAUCUAGUCCUCCCGUUCAUGGCUCAUGUGUCUCAACCAUUCUCCCGCAGACUCCUGCAGCCCCUAUGCCCAGGGCUCUCCUUGCUCCAGCCCCGGCUUCUCGAGGCCUGUCUACACUCGCUGCUUUCCUUCCUCACCUCCAAUUUCCCCUCCAACCCACUGCUUCCUGACUCGCUCUUCUCCAUCGAACGGCUCUCGCUCAGGUUUAAGACUUGGCUUGCUGGCCCUGGAGAUCCCGUCGCCGUCUUCGUCGAAUUCGAACUCCUAGCCAUCGUCCUUCCCUGGCCUGUCGCGUCUUCCUGUGCCAUUUGCUGUUGUGCUCAGGUUCCACGAGCUGCCCAUCUCCACAGAAGAGCAGCUGGCAUUGCCCACCGGCCAUGCCGGCUGAAGAAAAGAAGUCUGAGGACCCCAGGACGCCCAGCGCGAGGACCCCAGGAAGCCCAGCGCGAGGACCCCACCCACGACGCCCAGCGCGAGGACCUCACGCACAACCCUCCUGGAUUAGGCCAAAGCCAUCAUCUGGAAUCCUGCGUGGGACCCUGGACACACGGACACAGACACCUGCCCCCAGGACCCUCCAACUGUAAAUC